rnacentral:rRNA from 1 species
AGCGAACGCUGGCGGCAGGCUUAACACAUGCAAGUCGAGCGGGCCCUUCGGGGUCAGCGGCAGACGGGUGAGUAACACGUGGGAACGUACCCUUUGGUUCGGAAUAACGCUGGGAAACUAGCGCUAAUACCGGAUACGCCCUUUUGGGGAAAGGCUUGCUGCCGAAGGAUCGGCCCGCGUCUGAUUAGCUAGUUGGUGGGGUAAUGGCCUACCAAGGCGACGAUCAGUAGCUGGUCUGAGAGGAUGAUCAGCCACACUGGGACUGAGACACGGCCCAGACUCCUACGGGAGGCAGCAGUGGGGAAUAUUGGACAAUGGGCGCAAGCCUGAUCCAGCCAUGCCGCGUGAGUGGUGAAGGCCUUAGGGUUGUAAAGCUCUUUUGUCCGGGACGAUAAUGACGGUACCGGAAGAAUAAGCCCCGGCUAACUUCGUG